rnacentral:rRNA from 1 species
CCUACGGGAGGCAGCAGUGGGGAAUAUUGGGCAAUGGGCGAAAGCCUGACCCAGCGACGCCGCGUGAGGGACGAAGGCCUUCGGGUUGUAAACCUCUUUCAGCAGGGAAGAAGCGAAAGUGACGGUACCUGCAGAAGAAGCACCGGCUAACUACGUGCCAGCAGCCGCGGUAAUACGUAGGGUGCAAGCGUUGUCCGGAAUUAUUGGGCGUAAAGAGCUCGUAGGUGGUUUGCCACGUCGGAUGUGAAAACCUGAGGCUUAACCUCAGGCCUGCAUUCGAUACGGGCAGACUAGAGUGUGGUAGGGGAGACUGGAAUUCCUGGUGUAGCGGUGAAAUGCGCAGAUAUCAGGAGGAACACCGGUGGCGAAGGCGGGUCUCUGGGCCAUAACUGACACUGAGGAGCGAAAGCGUGGGGAGCAAACAGGAUUAGAUACCCUGGUAGUCCACGCCGUAAACGGUGGGCACUAGAUGUGGGGACCUUCCACGGUCUCUGCGUCGCNGCUACGCAUAGUCGCCCGCCGUCGGGAGGUACGGCCGCGACGGACGUAAACUACAAAGAAGUAGUACGACGNGAGAGUACGCGACGACGACGACGACGGAGGAGG